CGCGUGGCUUUUGCAGACCAGCUGGUUCCGUCUGGGGAAGAUGGCGCUGGCUGGGGCGGCAACCCGGGAGCAGUUGGUAUGCUGGUGUUGCCAGCAGUUGCGGAAAACUUUCGGCCUGGAUGUCAGCGAGGAGAUCAUGCAGUAUGUUUUGUCAAUUGAGAGUGCUGAAGAGAUACGAGAAUAUGUUGCUGACCUCCUCCAGGGAAAUGAAGGCAAAAAAGGUCAAUUCAUAGAAGAGCUUAUAAUCAAAUGGCAAAAGAAUGAUCAUGAAUUGAUUUCUGAUCCUUUGCAACAGAGCUUCAAAAAAGAUGAAAUUUUAGAUGGGCAGAGAUCAGGAGACCAGCUAAAGAGGAGUAGGCGGAAAGGGAGAAACAGACAGGAAGUUCCUGCAUUUGCUGAGCCUGACACAGCUGUAGAGGUUAAAACACCUUUUGAUUUGGCCAAGGCACAAGAGAACAGUAACUCCUUAAAGAAGAAGACGAAGUUUGUCAACUUAUAUGCAAAAGAGGGACAGGACAGGCUUGCAGUCCUGCUCCCUGGUCGCCACCCUUGUGAUUGCCUGGGACAGAAGCACAAGCUCAUAAAUAACUGUCUGAUCUGUGGGCGUAUUGUUUGUGAACAAGAGGGCUCUGGCCCCUGCUUAUUCUGUGGUUCUCUGGUAUGUACUCAUGAAGAACAGGAUAUUUUGCAGCGUGACUCAAACAAGAGCCAGAAACUGCUGAAGAAGCUCAUGUCAGGGACAGAGAAUUCCGGAAAGGUGGACAUCUCUACCAAGGACCUUCUUCCUCAUCAGGAAUCGCGAAUUAAGUCUGGUCUGGAAAAGGCUAUCAAGCAUAAAGACAAACUGUUAGAGUUUGACAAAACUAGUGUUCGAAGAACUCAGGUCAUUGAUGAUGAGUCUGAUUACUUUGCCAGUGAUUCUAACCAGUGGUUGUCCAAAAUUGAGCGGGAAACUCUGCAGAAACGAGAGGAAGAGCUGAGAGAACUUCGACAUGCCUCUCGACUCUCUAAGAGGAUCACCAUUGACUUUGCAGGCAGGAAGAUCCUGGAAGAAGAAAAUCCAUUAGCAGAUUAUCACAGCAAACUAGAUGAGACAAUACAGGCCAUUGCCGAUGGAACUUUGAACCAGCCACUCAACGAAUUGGAUAGAUCUUCUGAAGAGCCUUUGGGAGUUCUGGUGAAUCCUAACUUGCACCAGCCCCCUCCUCAGUGGGUAGACCAGACAGGAUCAGCCUCACAGAAAAAGGCUUUCCAUUCAGAAGGAUCAGAACUAAAGCUCAGCUCUCAUCGGUACCAAUUGCGAAUCCAGGACCAAGAUUUUCAAGAGGGCUUUGAUGGUGGCUGGUGCCUCUCUAUGCAUCAGCCCUGGGCUUCUCUGCUUGUCAAAGGGAUUAAAAGGGUGGAGGGCAGAACCUGGUACACUCCUCACAGAGGACGACUUUGGAUAGCAGCCACAGCCAAAAAACCCUCUACUCAAGAAGUCUCAGAACUCCAGGCUACAUAUCGCCUUCUUCGUGGAAAAGAUUUAGAAUUUCCCAGUGACUAUCCAUCAGGUUGUCUUCUGGGUUGUGUUGACCUAACUGAUUGCUUGUCCCAGAAGCAAUUUAAAGAACAGUAUCCAGACAUCAGUCAAGAAUCUGAUUCUCCGUUUGUUUUUAUCUGCACAAAUCCCCAGGAAAUGAUCGUGAAGUUUCCUGUUAAAGGAAAUCCAAAAAUCUUUAAAAUCUUUCAAGAACCAAAAUGGGCUGUGGGCUUGCUUCAAGAAUAGCAGGGCUGGAGAGAAAUUGUGAGAUUGCAGCUUCUUCCAUGGCCCUGUGAUUAAGGAUGUGAUUUAACACUGAAAUGCUGUAGGGAAACUGGAUUCCAAGAUACAUCAAGGAGCAAAGAAGGGUUUAAUGAAGCAGAAUAAAGCCGUCUGACCCAGGAGAAAAAGAACUAUAUAACUUAGUGGAGUUUUGUGUAAAAAAUUGCUAUCCAUUGGUCUUUUGGAAUUGAAGCAGUAGAAAUCUAAAGGAUUGGUAUCAGGCUUGAAUCUGUCAGAAUUUAAACUCUUACCAAAAUAUGUGUAUUUUCCUUAAGGAGUGGGAUUCUUACUUUAUGUGGUGUUUCAAAAUCUUUGAAUACAUUAUUUAUAAAAAUCUAUUUAAAAAUU